rnacentral:rRNA from 1 species
GUGAGGAAUAUUGGUCAAUGGGCGAGAGCCUGAACCAGCCAAGUCGCGUGAAGGAAGAAGGAUCUAUGGUUCGUAAACUUCUUUUGCAGGGGAAUAAAGUGCAGGACGUGUCCUGUUUUGUAUGUACCCUGAGAAUAAGGAUCGGCUAACUCCGUGCCAGCAGCCGCGGUAAUACGGAGGAUCCGAGCGUUAUCCGGAUUUAUUGGGUUUAAAGGGUGCGUAGGUGGUUUGAUAAGUCAGCGGUGAAAGUUUGCAGCUUAACUGUAAAAAUGCCGUUGAAACUGUCGGACUUGAGUGUAAAUGUGGUAGGCGGAAUGCGUGGUGUAGCGGUGAAAUGCAUAGAUAUCACGCAGAACUCCGAUUGCGAAGGCAGCUUACUAAGCUACAACUGACACUGAAGCACGAAAGCGUGGGGAUCAAACAGGAUUAGAUACCCGUGUAGUCC